rnacentral:rRNA from 1 species
AGAGGUGCGUAUCGGAUUACUGGGCGUAAGCGUGCGCAGGCGGUUUUGUAAGUCUGUCGUGAAAGCCCCGGGCUCAACCUGGGAAUUGCGAUGGAGACUGCAAGGCUUGAAUCUGGCAGAGGGGGGUAGAAUUCCACGUGUAGCAGUGAAAUGCGUAGAGAUGUGGAGGAACACCGAUGGCGAAGGCAGCCCCCUGGGUCAAGAUUGACGCUCAUGCACGAAAGCGUGGGGAGCAAACAGGAUUAGAUACCCUGGUAGUCCACGCCCUAAACGAUGUCUACUAGUUGUCGGGUUUUAAUUAACUUGGUAACGCAGCUAACGCGUGAAGUAGACCGCCUGGGGAGUACGGUCGCAAGAUUAAAACUCAAAGGAAUUGACGGGGACCCGCACAAGCGGUGGAUGAUGUGGAUUAAUUCGAUGCAACGCGAAAAACCUUACCUACCCUUGACAUGUCAGGAACCUCCGAGAGAUCGGGGGGUGCCCGAAAGGGAACCUGAACACAGGUGCUGCAUGGCUGUCGUCAGCUCGUGUCGUGAGAUGUUGGGUUAAGUCCCGCAACGAGCGCAACCCUUGUCAUUAGUUGCUACAUUCAGUUGAGCACUCUAAUGAGACUGCCGGUGACAAACCGGAGGAAGGUGGGGAUGACGUCAAGUCCUCAUGGCCCUUAUGGGUUGGGCUUCACACGUCAUACAAUGGUACAUACAGAGGGCCGCCAACCCGCGAGGGGGAGCUAAUCCCAGAAAGUGUAUCGUAGUCCGGAUCGCAGUCUGCAACUCGACUGCGUGAAGUUGGAAUCGCUAGUAAUCGCGGAUCAGCAUGUCGCGGUGAAUACGUUCCCGGGUCUUGUACACACCGCCCGUCACACCAUGGGAGCGGGUUUUACCAGAAGUAGGUAGCUUAACCGCAAGGAGGGCGCUUACCACGGUAGGAUUCGUGACUGGGGUG